GUUGUUAUCACCGCCACCCGAAAGGAUACUGCCUCCCUUCCCCCCCAUCCCCAGUCGAGACCUCGGGGGCUCAAACUCUGCCUUUACUUUGGGUCUCCCUGGACUCCCCUCCAACCUGCCUGUAGGUUUAAAUCUCCAGACUGGUUGAAGAAGUCGCCCAAAAGGAACCACUUCGCAAAUUUUGUUUCCUCCCUUGAAAUCCCACUGGACGUGGAGCAGAUCUUCUCUUGAAGGCGGCAGAGCACAGUUUGUGGAAGGCUUAAUGAAGUGAAAGCAAGAGAUCCCAUGGAGGAGGCAAGAGUGGGAGAGAUAUGGGAUCAUAAAAUUUGGCAGAGCAAGUGAUUGAGUGUGGUGUCUUUGUUAGUUUGUCAGCAUCACAGUUACAAGUAAAAUAUGCUUGUAAAAUGCAAAUUCAAGUAAUUUUAAAUGAAAAUUGAAAAAAUGCUUUCUCCCUUG